UACGGAGGGUGCGAGCGUUGUCCGGAAUCACUGGGCGUAAAGGGCGCGUAGGCGGCCUGAUAAGUAGGGGGUGAAAUCCUGCGGCUUAACCGCAGGGCUGCCUUCUAAACUGUCAGGCUGGAGCACAGUAGAGGCAGGUGGAAUUCCCGGUGUAGCGGUGGAAUGCGUAGAGAUCGGGAAGAACAUCAGUGGCGAAGGCGGCCUGCUGGGCUGUUGGCUGACGCUGAGGCGCGACAGCGUGGGGAGCAAACAGG
rnacentral:rRNA from 1 species